UUUGAGACCAGCCCAGCCAGCAUGGUGAAACUGCGUCUCUACAAAAAUACAAAAAUUAGCGGGGCAUGGUAGUUCAACGCCUGUAAUCCCAGCUACUCGAGAGGCUGAGGCAGAAUUGUUUGAACCCGGGAGGCAGAGGCAGAGGUUGCAGUGAGCCGAGGUCGCACGACUGCACUCCAGCCUGGGUGCAACAGAGUGAGACUCCAUCUCAAAAAACAAAAAACAAAAACAAAAACAAAACAAAAAAUGAAAACCCACUUUUAGUAAAAAAAAUAAAAAUGAAAAAAUGUGAAUCAGGCUGCACUCUGGCCCACAUCCUGGCUGCUGUGUAUCACGUGGCUCUAGACACUGCACUUUUGCCUCCUCAUCAUUGCUGUAGAUAGGAUUUCUGACAGCAGGGUCAUUAGACGAAUUUUUUUUUUUUUUUGAGACGGAGUCUCGCUCUGUCGCCCAGGCUGGAGGGCAGUGGCGCAAUCUCUGCUCACUGCAAGCUCCGCCUCCCGGGUUCACACAAUUCUCCUGCCUCAGCCUCCCGAAUAGCUGGGACUACAGGUGCCUGCAACCAUGCCUGGCUAAUUUUUUUUGUAUUUUUAGUAGAGACGCGGUUUCACCAUGUUAGCCAGGAUGGUCUCGAUCUCCUGACCUCGUGAUCCUCCCGCCUAGGCCUCCCAAAGUGCUGGGAUUACAGGCGUGAGCCACCGCGCCCGGCCCCAUUAGACAAAUUUGUAUCUGCACGGUUCCUACAGAUAAACUCUGGGACAUUAGAAUUAUAAGGCUUUUGUUUAAGGAUGGUUUCAGAUGUUUUUCAGACCUUGAAUUCCAGCCAAAUAGCUGACACUAACCAGUUUGAAGACCCCAGUGAGGAAUGGGAUCAGCAUGAGAACACUGCGUCUUCAUGCCCCUGUCUCCGCCAGCAGUCAGCAUGGCCACACUCUGGCCCACACCAAAACACUUAAAAACCCUAGCCCCGGCCGGGUGCAGAGGCUCACACCUGUAACUCCAGCACUUUGGGAGGCCAAGGCAGGUGAAUCACCUGAGGUCAAGAGUUCAAGACCAGCCUGGCCAACAUAGUGAAACCCCGUUUCUACUAAAAACACAAAAAAUUAGUCGGGCGUGGUAGCGGGUGCCUGUAACCCCAGCUACUCAGGAGGCUGAGGCAAGAGAAUUACUUGAACCUGGGAGGCGGAGGUUGCAGUGAGCAAAGAUCCUGCCACUGCACUCCAGCCUGGGUGACAAAGCAAAACUCC
rnacentral:lncRNA from 1 species